GCCGCCGCGGCGGGAGCUGGCUCGGGUGGCUGGAGGCGGGUCCUCCAAUGCCCGCAGAUCCCGCAAACGCUCCGCUCCCCGGAGCCGCCGCCUGGAGCCAGUGCGCUCAGCCCCUGGAUGUUAAGGUCCACGCGGGUGCCAAAUGGAGCCGGGAGAAGUAGCGACAGCCCCCACCCUUCAUCUACCCAAGGCAGCGCCCUGGGCCACCAAGGCCGAAGCGCAGUUGGAGCUCGAGCGGGAGCCUGAGACGGCCCGACCUAAGCCGCCCGAGCUGGGCCCGCCGGAUCCCAAGCGGCUUCCGGCCCAAGGGGAGACGCACUUGAGUGACCGCGAGGAGCAAACUUGGCGCUCUCAGCCUCGGGCCUCGGAGAGGUGAGAGAUUCCGGCUGCGCCCCUCUCCUCCCUUCCAAAGCCGAGACCCCGCCACACAUCCUUUUGCCGCGGCGCGGGACCCCGGACGCAGAAGUGUGUGCGGGGAGACCCGGGGAGCGCGUCGCCUGUCCGUCGCCCUCUCCCCGAAGCUUCUGUGCGGCGCUUCGGCCGCAUUCCGGGAGCGCGGACCAACCCAUCGCUCUGAGUUUGCCUGCACCCUGCCCUUUUCGGUCCGGGUAUCCGUUUGUCUUGGGCUCUGUGACUCUGUGUCUCUCGCCUUCGGUGAAUCUCUGCCUUGUUUCCUGUGGAAACCCUGCAUUUGUCUGGGUGUCUCUUCGUGGGUCCGAGAAUCCCUCGCUCCAUUUCCCCACCCCCAGUCGCACUGCAGGGCUGCUCCCCCCUUUCUGGCCGGACUUGUAGGCUCUACGGACCGGCCACAGGACCCCGACAGACACCUUCCUCAGUGAACCCUGACCUCAGCCCCAGGCCCGCGUUGUCUCGUCUCUCAGGAGCCCGUGCACACAAGGUUGGUCCUGUGCCCUUCUUCUUACGAGCCGGGUUUCUGCCCAGCCCAUUAGCCUCCUUUCUCCCCUGGCCAGGAACCUAGCCACCAGUAGACUGGGCCCAUCUCAACCCUGAGCGGUGACAGGGGUGGUAGGCGCUGGUGGUGGGCAAGAACUGAGCUGAUAGACGGGCUGCUGCCCCGCCAGCGCCGCGCAGUGGUCAGAUCUCCGGCAGGCGAGGAGGCGAGGCCGGAGACCCAGCUGCCCUCAGCUGUCGCAAGGCUGUAUGACAGUCAGCAAGGUACUUUCCCUACCCAGCCUCAGUUUCCUGCUUUGCCUAGUAGUUAAGAGCAGGAACCCUGAAAUUAGGCUGCUGGGAUUCUGGUCCUGGCUUGCUUAUUUACGAGCUCUGUCAUCUUGGAUACAUUUCUUAAACUUUUUGCUUCUGUUUCUUCCUCUGUAAAAAUGAGAUUUAAAAGCGCACCUACCUCAUGACUAAUACCUAAAAGUAACUAUAUCACUCUAGGCUACUUAUGAAGAGGAUAUUGAGAGCACUUUGCAGACUCUUGGGGAGAGAGAAAGCAGGUGGGGGUGUAGUCUCCCACCUGGAUCUCAAGCUAUGGUCUAGCCCUCCACUGGGUUACCCGUACCGGGGUAACUGGGUUAUCUAACCCUCUCUGGUCACUAUGCUGAAUCAGAUCCCCUAUAGAUAAGUGCUGGAAGCAGGGUGUGAGGGAUCGCCAGGCCCCUGCAAGCUGUAGUUCAGCAGGAUUGUUGUGAGGGUGGAUACAUUCUUUCAUCUAACAGUUUCCAGCCUAUGGAAUAAUCUAGUGUAAAUCUAAAUUUCCCAUUCCACAACCAGAGGCCCAGAGGGAGGUGGGGUGGGGCAACCAGAGGCCCAGAGAGGGGAAGAGACUCACCUAGGCUCCUAUAAGAUAGAGCAGGGCCAGGUGCUUGUCACUUAAUCUUCAUGAUGGAGGUCUCCAUCCUCUCAAGCCAUCUGGCUAAGAGCAGAGGAGAGUGGAAGCAAGUCUGACUGCCCCUGUCCUGGGGGAGAAAGUCCUCUGUUCCCCCUACACACACUCCUCAGACCAAGGGGAUCCACCUGGUAUGCAGGGUCUGCAUAAAUCCACCUGGUAUGCAGGGUCUGCAUAAAUCCACCUGGUAUGCAGUCUGCACAGUUUAUGCAGACUGUGGCCGGUCCAUAGAGCCUACAAGUCCUGCCAGAAAGGGGGAGCAGCCCUUUCGCUACCUCCUUCGCUACCUCCUUCCUGUCCUCAGGAAGAUGAGAAGAGGUCCAGUCCUCAAACCAUGGACAAGCAAUUGGGCAGGGGUAGUGGCCCUUUUCUAGGUGAUAAGGCCCUCCAGAGAAAAAGGUGGGGGGCGAGGGUUGGAAAGAAGUUUUUUGCAUGAGUCCAAAUAAACUCACAUAUCUAAGGUUGCUAGAUUUAGCAGAUUUAUUUUAUCUGGCAACCCUACACCUACCCCAAGCUUGUGUAUUACUUCGUGGAGCUCUCUCUGGUACUCACAGGUAGCCCACACUGUCUACGGCAUAUCAGCUCCAGCCCGGCUCUGCCCUGCUAGUAUCUAAGAAAAUGGAGAGGAAAAUCAACAUUGGCCUCAGCUUACUACACCUCACCUUCUGAAUGUCUUCAUUUCUAAAAUGGCAGGCAUUCGCCAGUCCCUUCCCCCCUUGCCAGCACUUUCUGGCUCCCCAGGCUCCGGCCUCCUGCCCAGCUUCAGGGUCAGGCUGGCUGAGACAUUUGCUGCCCACAUCUCCUGGGUUCUGAAGGUCCAGGCAAGACUCUACAGAGCCGCUGUGGCUGUGGGCUCUUGCCUCUGCCUGGUUCUGCUGCACACUCGCUGCUUGCUGAGGCCCAGGUUGGGGGGAAGGGAUACAGGCCCUUAGUCCCUGUUCUGCAGUGUGGGGGUGGGACAUGAUCUUAAGGAAUCCUUGGACCCUUCAAACACACACUUUUACAGGAGUGCAAACAGGCUCUGGAAAUCAUGUGACUUGGCCAGGCUCUUGAAGCCCCCCACGCUACUCCCAGGGUUGGGUUGGACCCAGGUGUCAAGACUCAGAGGCCAGAACUCCUUUACUUAUCCAAAUAACUCUGCUUAGCCCCUCACCAAGCUCGGGAGAGGUGUUUCUAGGAACCUCUCAUCCCUCCCAAGGUUUUAGUGUAAAUCUAGAAGGGCCAGUUUGUCUUGAACAAUGCCAGGAGUAGGUGAACUGGGGGCUGGGAGAAGGUCGAGGGGGACCUUGGGAAUUUAUUUCGUUUUCUGCACUUCUCCGCUGGCACCAGCCUUUCCCACCUGUGGGCUCAGCCUCUUCCAAACCUUCCGGUCACAUUUGCUAUCUGGGUGACUCUGUCACUUCCCUCCAAGGAAAAUCUAUGCUUCAGCGCCCAUGCCCGAAGCUUCCAAGAAGCAGAAGGCAACAGGCUCUGGGGGCCUUGGCUACAGUGUCCCUAGUAGGGUCUGGCCUUCUCCUUCCUCUGCCUUACUAUUUCGCUACCUCCUUCGCAUAGCCAAGAAACAACUGGAAGGAGGCUUUUGGGGGCGCCUGUUGGGAGGGGGGUCCACCCCAAAAUGCCCGGACAGCCAGGGAGUUGUUGCAUGUUUAUUGUGAUGUGUUGCUGACUAUCAGUGGUGUCCCUCCCUUUAUGGCUCCUCCCUUGGCUUCUUAUGGUCGCAGUAGACGUGCUGUUCUCGACUUAGGGAAAACGACAGCUAUCAGAUGGUUUUGAGAAUAUAAUGAAGUCAAUGGCGAAGAGCGGCGCUGAGCGAGCAGGAGGUGGGACGCGGAGCGGACCGACCUCACGCGCGACCUCCCCGCCGGAUGAAUUCUGCGAGCACAGUACGGCCUCAGCCGGGCAGGGGGACACCACGCCCGCACACUUCUCUGAUUUUAUUCACAAACCUUGCCAGUCUCGGGGAAAGCUGCGAGACCCGCGCAGCCGCCCCCUCUUCCCGUUCCUCCAUCGGCUGCAGCUCGGGUGUAGGGGAUGGGGGAGACAGUUGUUUGGCGGAAGCCGGGGCAUCUCCGGACCCUUUUCUUCACCCAGAUCUCCGCCUGUUCCAGAGCGAUCGGCUCCCUUGGCCCGGGCGGGAGGCGGGAGAUUCCAGAUCGGGAGACCUGAGGGGAAGAACCUCAGGCGGCGGGGCUCCCCACACACAGGAGCAGGGCCCCGGGUCAGAGUUCAGAGAGAGGCCGGACCCACAGCAAGCAAGAGAAAUGACAGGGCUCCCCGCCUGUGCGCCUUCGCCCCAGCCCACCACCCGCCCUCCCCCAAGCGCCUCUGAACUGCUCCCCACACCUCCACGUACCCCCCACUUCUCAGAAGAAAUGUCUUUCUCUUCUUUCACCAUGCCUGGCCACAGCCGCCUCCCGGCACCCCUAUCCUGGGACUACGUAGUGGGGGGGCUCCCUUGAGCCCCAGCACCGAGCAGCGGUUGAGACCCGGACGAGCUGCGGAGCCUGUCUACUCUGGUUCGCGGGAAGAGGGUUGCGGGCCCAGGCAAGGGUGAAAACAGCGCGGCUCCGCAGCCGCCCAACCUGGGGCUCUGGCUUCGCAGCGACCGCGGUGCUACAGGCUCCCCUCGCUGGGGAGACGCACAGCUGGGGGCAAGGGAGAGGGGACGCUUCCAGGUGUGUCGGAGCGUCAGCCUCAGGUCUGAGUGCCCCUACUGUCUAAGUGCGUCCCGGGUUUUUGCGAACGAGGGUCUGUUUCUCCUCCCUCCGCGUGCGUGUGCCCCUCCGGACGCCGGUGGCUCUAUGUGUCCGACCCGCGCCUGUCCCGAGUGCUCCCCUGCCAAACGCACGAUAGGUGCGGGGACUGCCCUGGAAGCCUCGCCGGCCAAACCCACCGCUCUGCCCCAGCGCCGGAAGCGGCGCGACGUGGCUGGGACUGCGAACCCACUCCAGGCCCGCAGCGUGACCCUGGCGGGGAAGGAGGAUGUGUGAGGGUGCAAGCCUGGGUGUGGGUUUGGGACGAGAGCGGGGAGAGAGAGGAGAGCGCACGGGCACGGCGCGGCGGAGAGCCGGGAAGAGUGUAGCGGCGGCCUCCUGCCCACCAACUGGAGGCCACCCGCUGGAGCAGCAAGACCUCGGGACCCGGACGCCCUUUCGCAGCCCUGAAGUGGGGCAAGGCGGGAGGGAAGGGAGGAGGGGCCCAGCCGUCCGAACCCGGUAACCGGCGCAACACGCACAUGCGCGCGCCGUCGCGUUUAGCCUUUCGGAGCCCCAGGCAGGGUUGCUGGUGAAACCGUAAGCCCCUGCGUGGUUGGGGAAAUGAUGCCGGGUGCCUGACCCCUCUGGGAUGCGGAGCCGCGUAAGCCCCACCGAAGCAGAGCGAGGGGACCAGAGGGCGUCUCGGCCUUGCCAUGUAGACCCGGUGACCGAUUCCUGGGGAACAGCGACCUCUGGAGGAGCGGCGCGUCCACGCAGAGAGUCAGGAACUGGACGACCAGGGUGGAGAUAAUAAUUGUACCUACCUCACUGAGUUCUCGUGAGGAUUAAAUGAGCUAAUGUGUAUAAAGCCCUCAGCCCAGUGCCUGAAACUGUGAAAAAGCUCAUCAAACAUUUCUCAUCAUUAUCAGUCACUCUGCCUCCUGCCAGCCACAAAACUCAACACACGGUGUAAUGACGUUCUGCGAGUUCGAGUUGAAUUUCACAAACAGCAGAGCCAUAAGAGAGGAGGAUCCUGGGUCCCUGAAACCUUUGAGGUGCCAUACCGCCCUGAACUGCCUCAAGACUUACGGGGAAAGGAAAUACAUUUCAAUAUUGGUUAA